GACGAACGCUGGCGGCGUGCCUAAUACAUGCAAGUAGAACGCUGAAGGAGGAGCUUGCUUCUCUGGAUGAGUUGCGAACGGGUGAGUAACGCGUAGGUAACCUGCCUGGUAGCGGGGGAUAACUAUUGGAAACGAUAGCUAAUACCGCAUAAGAUUGACUAUUGCAUGAUAGUCAGUUAAAAGGUGCAAUUGCCUCACUACCAGAUGGACCUGCGUUGUAUUAGCUAGUUGGUGGGGUAACGGCUCACCAAGGCGACGAUACAUAGCCGACCUGAGAGGGUAGUCGGCCACACUGGAACUGAGAAACGGCCCAGACUCCUACGGGAGGCAGCAGAGGGGAAUCUUGGCAAGUGGACGAAAGCCUGACGAGCAACGCCGCGUGAGUGAAGAAGGGUUUCGGAUCGUAAAGCUCUGUUGUAAGAGAAGAACGAGUGUGAGAGUGGAAAGUUCACACUGUGACGGUAUCUUACCAGAAAGGGACGGCUAACUACGUG
rnacentral:rRNA from 1 species